AGAUAUUGAUGAGUGCGGUGAUGUUCUCACCCACAACUGUAGCCUAAGUGUAGAAGAUUGUGUCAACAACAAGGGUGGCUUCUCUUGUGUCUGUAGGAGUGGCUAUGCAAGGAAUGCUCAAAAUAUUUGUGAAGACAUUGAUGAAUGUGCCAAACAUACAGACAACUGUGAACAUUUAUGUGAAAACAUUCCUGGCAAAUUUAACUGCUACUGUCGCUAUGGUUACAGGCUCACAGCUGACAGGGCCACUUGUGUUUCAGAAAAGAAUGUGU
rnacentral:sRNA from 1 species